rnacentral:misc_RNA from 1 species
AACUUUUAGCAACGGAUCUCUUGGUUCUGGCAUCGAUGAAGAACGCAGCGAAAUGCGAUCAGUAAUGCGAAUUGCAGAAUUCAGUGAGUCAUCGAAUCUUUGAACGCACAUUGCGCCCCGGGGUAUUCCGCAGGGCAUGCCUGUUCGAGCGUCAUUUCAACCCUCCAGCCUCGCUUGGUGUUGGGCCCUGCCUGCCGCGGCCGGCCCUAAAGGCAGUGGCGGCGCCGCCUGGCCCUCAGCGUAGUACAUCUCUCGCGCCAGGGUCCGGCGGCAGCCUGCCAGAACCCCCCAACUCUGUGGUUGACCUCGGAUCAGGUAGGGAUACCCGCUGAACUUAAGCAUAUCAAUAAGCGGAGGCU